UACGGGGGGUGCGAGCGUUAAUCGGAAUAACUGGGCGUAAAGGGCACGCAGGCGGACUUUUAAGUGAGGUGUGAAAUCCCCGGGCUUAACCUGGGAAUUGCCUUUCAUACUGGGAGUCUAGAAUACUUUAGGGAGGGGUAGAAUUCCGCGUGUAGCGGUGAAAUUCGUAGAGAUGUGGAGGAAUACCGAAGGCGAAGGCAGCCGCUUGGGAAUGUUCUGACGCUCAUGUGCGAAAGCGUGGGGAGCAAACAGG
rnacentral:rRNA from 1 species